UACGAAGGGGGCUAGCGUUGUUCGGAAUUACUGGGCGUAAAGGGCGCGUAGGCGGUUUGAAUCGUCGGAUGUGAAAGGCCUGGGCUCAACCUGGGAACGGCAUCCGAUACGGUCAGACUUGAGUGUGGGAGAGGUUGGUGGAAUUCCCAGUGUAGAGGUGAAAUUCGUAGAUAUUGGGAAGAACACCGGUGGCGAAGGCGGCCAACUGGACCACAACUGACGCUGAGGCGCGAAAGCGUGGGGAGCAAAC
rnacentral:rRNA from 2 species